AGAUGAAUUUCAACGGGAGAGGACCUCAGAAAGUUUGCUCCUCGUAACGGUCGCGACUUUUUCGCAUCGUCUCAAUUAAUGUGCACACAAAGUUGUAAAUUCAUCCUGGCAUCCUCCAUUGGUCUUUUCUGAACUGGCAGCUCUUUCUCCGCCAGCUCAGCGCACCAAUUUUAAACCAUCUUCUCUUCAAGGCAUUGUACAAGCCACCGCAUCAUCACAGGCUUCGCACGGCGGAGAAUCCCGCCCGGCCUGGAGAGUCGGCACAAGCUCGGAGUCCGGAGUACCGAGCGUCACAAAUUGCGCUAAACUGAACUUAAACAAAGUAGGCCUACGGAACGUGUUGAAGUUGAAGUGAACCUGGACUUGGAGGAUGCUCGAACUUCACAAAAACCAAGAAAACAGAUAUCUGUGUAGAAAUGGGAGCCUGUCAUAUCUGGAUGAGAGUGGUCAGAUGAAGAGGCUUCUGGUUGAGGCCCCUUUGCUGCUAGGAGGAGGACGAUGCAGGGAGAAGAACCUACGGUGGAUUGUGGACUCUGCUUGCUCACCUUCCCAGGAAUUCCUACAAACUGCGGACAUGAUUCUUUAUGGAGAGAAAACGCCACCAAAUAAUCGGGCAAGAAACUUCAUUAUUACUAAUUUAAAAGAUAUUUCAAGAGAUGAAAUGAAUAAGACUUAAGGGUUUGCAUAGUGGACAAUAAUGGGAGGCUUGUGUUAGCACCAUGUGAAUGGUGUUUCUUAGCUUAGUGAAUUGUGUGGUUCUGAAAAGAACCAGUUGAAAACAGAUGAAAUGGACUUCAGCGGCAUGCGUCUGGAACAAGGUCAGACGCCUUGAACACUGUCAGAAUGAAAAGGCUUUAUGCCUUAUUUAUCUUAUUGAAUCAUCAUGAUAUUCCAAGUUAUACAAUUCAGUGAGGACGAACUGCAAUGAACAUUAAUCACACUACUUGAAAUAUGAUCCAUCAGCCUUAUAAGAAGGUUUAUCAUAAGUCAAUAGUAAAAAAGGACUGCUUAUACGAAUUAUUCCAUGAGGAAUACAAAGAAGAACUGAGAUGUCACAGUGUCUCCAUUCAGUGAAGACGAACUGCAAUGAACAUUGGUCACUAUUUGGAAUAUGAUCCAACAGCCUUAUAAUAAGGUUUAUCAUAAGUCAAUAGUAAAAAAGGACUGCUUUCCAUGAGGAAUACAAAGAAGAACUGAGAUGUCACAGCAUCUCAAUUAAUUGAAGACGAACUGCAACGAACAUUAGUCGCACUACUUGGACUAUUAUCCAAAAGCUUUAUAAUUAGAAAACGACUUCUUAUGCGACUCAUUAUUCGGCGAGGAAGACAAAGAAGAACUGACAUGUCACAGCGUCUGGGGCGCUGUCCUUUUACGCAUUUUAAACAAAAUUUACCUUCCAAAGCAAACAAUUUUCAAAAACUCUGAGUCAUCAAUACGGGCACUGGUUGAUAAUUUGUUUCUAUAAAUAUAAAGAAAGAAACUGAUUUCAUCCUGCCUGAUAUUGAACAUAAAACCAUUAGAGAGUCAAAUUAUAAUUUGUGAACUGAAAACAAUCAGUUUGCUCUUUACAAAGGUGAUGAUGAUGAUUGAAAGUAAGAAGGAAAAAGUCAAUCAUCACUUUUCCCAUAGUAAUGACUGUUUAAGAAUUGAUCUCUGUGUAUGAUGUGAUUAUUUCUUGUGUACGUUGUGAUUAUUUUGUGUGUAGGUGUGAUUAUUUCUUGUGUACAGUGCAAUUAUUUCUUGUGUACGGUGUGAUUAUUUCUUGUAUAUGGUGUGAUUAUUUCUUGUGUGCGGUGUGUUUUUUUCUUAUGAUUUUUAAAGUUUCUAGUCUCUGACUGAUCACAGAUCUGCAAUACUCAACAAAAAAAACUGUAGAGAAAGAAAUAAUACUUGAAAUCAGUGUUAUUUAGUUCUCCAAGGUACAAUACGAUACAAUAGUGUUAAUUAUUUCUUAUAGGUGCGAUUUACUAUACGAUACGACAUGAUACGAUACGAUAGCGAUGGUGAGAGAAAUAAUUUUGGAAAAAGUGUUAUUUUCUCAAACAAAAAAUGUUACGAAAUGUUAUUAAAAAACGUGAUGGAAACAAAAUUAUUUACGAUACGAAACAAUUAUACGAGAGCGGUAAAUUUCUAUUUUUUUCCCUCGAAAAAAUCAGCCAUGAAAUGACACGUGUGAAAGAAAUAAUACUAGAAAUCGUGCAACCUACAAAAGAAAAAAAUGCAAGGAAAAUUAUGUAACGGUGAAAUAAAACAAAGUACGUAGCGGAUAGAGACAAAUUGUAUUUGAAAAGAAAGAAAAUGUAAAGAAGGAAAUAAUUAUUUUUUCUCAAAGGUGAGAUAUGACACGCCAUGCCACGAUACGAUACAACACGAUACAAUACCUCUUGGUACAAUACGAUACGAUAGCGAUGGUAAGCAAAAUAAUAUUUGAAAAAUUGUUACCUUUCUCGCCCACAAAGAACGUAGGGAAAGAAAUAAUACUUGAAAAUCAGUGUUGUUUAUUUCUCAAAGGUGCAAUACGACAAGACACGAUACUACCCGAUAGGAUACGAUAUGAUACGAUACGAUACGAUACGAUACGAUAGGAUAUGAUACGAUAGCGGUGGUAAGAAAAAUAAAAUUUGAAAAAUUGUUAUUUUUCUCACCCACAAAGAACGUAGGGAAAGAAAUAAUACUUGAAAAUCAGUGUUGUUUAUUUCUCAAAGGGGCGAUACGACAAGACACGAUACGACCCGAUAAAAUACGAUAUGAUACGAUACGAUAUGAUAGCGGUGGUAAGAAAAAUAAUAUUUAUGAAAAAUUGUUAUUUUUCUCACCCACAAAGAAUGUAGGGAAAGACAUAAUACUUGAAAAUCAGUGUUGUUUAUUUCUCAAAGGUGCGAUACGACAAGACACGAUACGACCCGAUAAAAUACGAAUCUCAGGACAUGUCAUGUGUCACCUUCACAAGAUUUAGUUCAGCCGUGUCUAAUAAUGUUUAAUUGAACAGUAAGUCCGAUCUAUAAAUGCAUCGGCAGGGAUUACUGUGGCUUUAUGCCACCUUCGAAAGUUUUUUUUUCCAGCCUGUCUUGAAUUUUAAACAGUAAGUCCGAUAUUCAACGAUCGGCAGUUACACUUCUGAUAUUUGUCUCCCUCAAGAGCUUUUUAAAGUCUUAUCUAAAACCAAAGACAGUGACUCUAUUUAUGGCAUUGUGCCAUCUCCAAAAGUAAUUCUUAGUCUUGUUUUGCACUAGAAAAAAAGUAAGUCCGAUCUUCAAUGAUUGGCAUGGAUACUUGUGGCAUUAUGUCACCUGUAGUUAUAUUCUUAACUUGCCUUCGAUUUAAACAGAGACUAGUCUGCAACGAUUGGCAGAACGUGUACGAUAUUAUUUUGCCAUUGGUAGUCGUGCAUAUAUGUAUCUGUAUAUAGUUUUAUUGAUUUAAGUAGGUUUUUUUUUUUUACCUUUUUCUCUUGAUACACUUUUGUUUUCUUCUUUCCUUUCCUCAUAACAACUAUUUUGUUGGCCGGGAUUUUAAUAAAAUUAAGUGUUUUCUAACCAUCUGUAGAGAUACAGUGUGACCUAGCUAAGCUGGGUCGAGUUUUCUUUCUCCCUGUAGCUCAUUCAGCCAAGAGAUGUUGAACAUCUACAAGCAUAAGACUGACUGGAUGAUGAGAGGCUGCUUUGUCAGGAUGGAAACGAAUCCCUCAGAGGAACCGGAAGCAGGGAGGAGGACCGACGGAUGAAUUGAUGACUCUGCUUGCAGGGCUACCCAUUUCUAAUUCCUAAGAAAGCGGAGCCUAGUGAACAUGGAUGAGAGUGGCUGGAUGAAGAAGCUUCUGGUUGAGGAUGACCUUGCCCUCCUGACACCACUUCAGUUGGAACUAGGGAGCCGGAAGCAGGAAGGAGGACCAACAGAUGAACGGAUGACCUGCUUGUCGGGCUUCCCAUUUCUGAUUUUUGAAAAAAUGGCGCCUGUUAUACAUAGAUGAGAGUGGCUAGAUGAAGAAGCUCCUGGUUGAGGAUGACCUUGCCCUCUCCACCCACUUCAGCUUGAACUAAGGAGCCGGAAGCAGGGAGGAGGACCAACAGAUGAACGGAUGACCUGCUUAUCGGGCUUCCCAUUUUAUAUUUUUAAAAAAUGGAGCCUGUUAUACAUGGAUGAGAGUGGCUGGAUGAAGAAGCUUCUGGUUGAGGAUGACCUUGCCCUCCCCCACCCUACUUCGGGAUGGAACUAAGGAGCUGGAAGCAGGGAGGACGACCAACAGAUGAACGGAUGACUCUGCUUAUUGAACUUGCCGUUUGAGAAUUUGUGAGGUGGAUUUACUAACAAAUGAUUUAACACAUUGAUGUAAAAAAGAGGACAAUGCCUGGAGCAAUGCCUUAACAGCUACAAUCCUGAAACAAAGUACCAGACUUUUUAAAAGACUCUUCUCAUGGAUAAGGAAAUGCAAAUUACAAAGAAAAUAUCAAAAUAAAUGAAAGUCUCUUUUCCUUUUUUUGCCAACCAAACAGGAAUUGUUACUAAUGUGACCUAGUUUGCCUAGGCCGAGAAGUUCUUUAUUAUUUUACAGGAUGGAGAUCGUCAUAGGGAAGAUCUCAAGCCAUUACUUGAGGAGAAUGAAAGAUGUCUGGCAACCGGAAGCAGGGAAUGACUGAUGAGCCUACUUGCUCAACAUGACAUCUGUGAUACAUGAGAUUCACCAAGACAUUAACCGUCAACAACAGCAUAUAAACAGAGAUGGCUUGCCAGCUAACGCUAACUACCCCCCCCCCCCACCAGAACAAGAAAUCAAUUAAAAUGUACUGCAACAAAUGAAAUUAGAAUGUUAUCUCUUACUUUGGACUAAGCAAAAUGUUAAGAGGCUAUGGGACACCCCCACCCUGCCUAAUCGAAUGAGCCUGCCUCAUGCACUUACAAAACGGUGCUCACUUUUAAAUAAAAUUCAAACCUUUGAGGAUUCUUUUCAGUCAAAAAACAUCUAGACAUGGAAAUUACACUGUGCUUAUGUUUUUGUUUGUUUGUUGCAUGAAUUCACUGUUCCUUUUUGGCAUGCGUUGUUCUUGCACGUUUUAUCAUAAUUACCGCACCUUUUGGUUUUAAUAAGCAAAAGGAUAACCACAGUGUAUGGCCAUAGUCUGACAAGUGCUACAUUAAAAACUCUUAACAUAUUAAGCUGAAUUUGAAACUAAUAAUUCAAAAUAACAACAUCACUUCAAUGCGUAAUGUAUUUUGAGGGGGGGGGGGGUCAUCCCCUAGCCUUUAUCUCCCUUUCGCACCUUGUCCUUUCAUGUCACCAACAAAAUCUGACCAAAAAACAUUAAAAGAAAUGGCCCUUUCCUCAUCCUUGAAACAUUGAAUUUUUUCAGGAAAUUGGCUUUUUAGUUGGAAAGCCUCCCUUUCAACAAUGAAAAACACUUAUUUAUUAGAGCAUUUAAAUAAUUGUCUGCAGUAAGGUUCCUUCUAUCAUUUUCCUUAACUUACUAUUGUCUGUCGUAAAUCAAAUGAUGAUGUCAACGAAUACAUCUGAGGAAGAAGCCACUGGUUGAGGAUGACAUUGCACUCCCCGUCCCAGGAGCCGGAAGCAGGGAGGAGGACCAACAGAAGAACUGAUUAUUCUGCAGUGAGCUAGCAAUUUCUGAUUCUCAAGAAGCGAGGAUGAGUCUUGGAAUGAUGGAGACAUGGAGAUGCUGUUUGUUGAUUUGACACACCCCGACCAUCACAGACGUACCUGAGGAACCGGAAGCAGGGAGGAGGACCGACAGAUGAACUGAAGACCCUACUUACUGAGCUUGCCAUUUCUGAUUUUCAAGACCUGGAAAGCCUGUCUGUUGACGCAUGAAACCAUCAUCACAUAUGACUGAGGAACCGGAAGCAGGGAGGAAGAACGACAGAAGAACGGAAGACCCUGCUUGCUGGGCUCUCCAUUUCCAACUUUUUAGAAAAUGGAGCCAGCCAUACCUGGAUGAGAGUGGUCAGAUGAAGGGGCCUCUGGUUGAGGCUGACUUUGCCCUCCUCACCCCACUUCUGCUGACGCUAAGGAGGAGGAAACAGAGAGGAGAACCUACAGAGGACUGUGGACUCUGCUUGCUGAGCUUGCCAGGAAUUCCUACAAACUUAGAAAAUGUGACAGUGUCUGGCACACUGCUCCAUGGAGAAAAAAACACACCAGAUAAUCAGGCAGGAAACUUAAUUAUAAUUGAAAGAAAUAUUUGAACGGUCAUUGACAUUCCUAAAGAUGAGAUGAACAUCAAUGGCAACGUCUGGAACAAAGUCAGAAGCCUGGAACAUUGUCAGAAUGAAAAGGCUUUAUGCCUUAUUUAUGUUACUACUGAACUGUCAUUGACAUUCCAACAAUUCAGUGAAGACGAGCUGCAGUGAACAUUAGUCAUACUACUUGGAAUAUUAUCCUGAAGCCUGAUAGAUUAUAGGUUUAUCAUAAUUAUAUUGUAAAUAUAAAAGACUAGGCCUACUGAUGAAACUUACAAUUCCAGAAGGAAGACGAGGAAGAACUGAAAUGUAACAGCGCCUGGUGCGCUGUCAUUGUACAAUUUUUAAAUAUAAUUUUCCAAAGCAAACAUGAUUUACAAAACAAAGUGAGCAAUCAAUUGGCUGAUACUUUGUAUGAACUAAGGGGGAAAAAAACGUAUUCCGUCUUGUCCUAUAAUAAACCUCAGUCCCUGCCAAAGAAAAACCUGAACAUAGUACAGACAGUUUAAUAAAAUUAUUGUCUGUUAACCAAAGAAAUUACUUUGCUCUAAAUUUGAAAAGGUGAUGAUUGAAAGUAAGAAAAAAACAAAAGAAUCUUCAAUUAUCACUUCAAUCAUCAUUUUACGCCCCAAUUUGCAUGCUUGCCGUGUACGAUGUGAUUAUUCCUUGUGCGCGGUGUGAUUAUUCCCUGUGUGUGUGGUGUAUUUUCUUCUAGUGAUUUUUGAAUUUUCUAGUCUCUGUUCACAGAUCUGCAGUACUUUGACAAAAAACAGAUCAAGAUCGAAGUUGUAGAGAAAGAAAUAAUACUAAUGAAAUCAGUGUUAUUUAUUCUCAAAGGUGCUAUACAACACGAUACGAUACGAUAUGAUACAAAUCAAGGGAAUAUUGAUUCUUCCUUUAAAUGUUCAGUCACCAAAAUGAGUUAAUGGCAGGUGUGAAACAAAUACUUGAAAUCUUGUAAUCGACAAAAGCAAGAAACCGACGAAAAUUAAUAGAACAUAAAAUAUUUGAAAAAAGGGUAAUUUUCCUUAUCCACAAAUAAAAUUGUAGUGAAAGAAAUAAUUUUUUAAUAAAUUAAGUGAUAUUUUUUUCUCAAAGGUGCGAUAUGACACAAAACGAAGGCGGCGAUACGACAUGACACGAUACGAUAUGUUACGAUACGAUACACGAUACGAUACGCGGAUACGAUACGGUGGUGAGAAAAAUAAUAUUUCUAAAAAAGUGUUAUUUUUUUCACCCACAAAAAUAAUAAUGAAAUGAUACUAAAUGAAACGAAAUAGAAACAAAAUGAUUUACGAUACGAUACGAAAUGAUACCGAAAAAAAUUUCCCUCGAAAAAGUCUGCUACGAAAUGAUUUACUUUUAAGAAAAUACUAGAAAAUCGUGCAACCGCAACAAAUGAAAGAAAUGCGAUGAAAAAAGUAAAUUACAGUAAAAUACAACAAAGCAGCGGUGAGACAAAGUAUAUUUGAAAAGGCUUUUUUCUCACCCACAAAAAAUACAACACAAAAUGUAAAAUGAUACAAAAGAAGUCAAUCGCGAUAACUUCUUGCAAAGAUUUGGUAACGAAAAUAACUAAGAUUCCAACGACUAAAAGGAGGGGAAACAUUGCUUAAAAUCGUUACGAUUUUUCCCAUAAAUGUGAAACGAAAUACAAAAGGACAGACUAAACACAUUCGCAGAGGAAACUUAUUUUAUUGGAAAAAUAAGCGAUAGUGACCAGAAUAACCAAUGUCAUGCCGCAGGUUUAAGUGUAGGUGACACCAUCUCUCUUUGCAAAUUGUUUCUUCGUCAGAAUGUUCAGCUUUCUGUCUCCAUUUUUAAUCUGCAUCUCGGGACAUUGUGUCAUGUGCCACCUUCUCUAGAUUUAUUUCAGCCAUGUCAUAAUUUUAAUUAAAUAGUAAGUCCGAUCUAUAAAUGCAUCGGCAGGGAUUCCUAUGGCUUUAUGUCACUUUCUAAAAAAUUUUCCAGCCGUGUCUUGAUAUUUAACCCAUAAGUCCGAUAUUAAAUGAUCGGCAGUAAUAUUUCUGAUGUUUGUUUCCUUCAGAAUUUUUAAUUUUGUUGAUGAGCAUUAUGGCACUAUGCUGUCUCCCAAAAGUAAUUUUUAGUCUUGCAAUUGAGAAAAUUGUAAGUCCGAUCUUGUACGAUCGGCAGGGAUGUACUUGUGGCAUUAUAUGUCACCUGUGGUUAAAUUGUUGCCUUGUCUUCGAUUUAGAGUGAGUCUGCAACAAGUAGCAGACGGCGUCAACAUUAUUGCCUUCAGUAUAUAGUCGUAUAUGUAUUUAUAGCAUUAAUGGAUUUAUCAAAGUAAGCCUGAUCGAUAUGCAGCUAUUUUUAACAAUUGUUUCUUUCUUUUUUUCUCAAAAUAUCUAUUUUGGGACUAAAGUAAGUCUUUUCUAACCAUCUGUAGAGAUACAGUGUGACCUAGCUAGGCUGGGUCGAGUUUUCUUUCUCCCUGUAGCUCAUUCAGCCACGAAUGAACAUCUACAAGCCUAAGACUGACUGGAUGAGGAGAGGCUACUUCGUCAGGAUGGAAACAAAUCCCUCCGAGGAACCGGAAGCAGGGAGGAAGUCCUUCGGAUGAACCGAUGACUCUGCUUGCAGGGCUACCCAUUUCUUCUUCAAAAGAAAAUGGAGCCUGGUAUACAUGGGUGACAGUGGCUGGAUGAAGAAGCUUCUGGUUGAGGAUGACCUUGCCCCCAGCCCAAUUCAGCUGGAACUAAGGAGCCGGAAGCAGGAAGGAGGACCAACAAAUGAACGGAUGACCUGCUUGUCGGGCUUCCCAUUUCUGAUUUUUGAAAAAAUGGAGCCAUAUACAUGGAUGACAGUGGUUGGAUGAAGAAGCUUCUGGUUGAGGAUGACCUUGGCCCCACCCCACUUCAGCUGGAACUAAGGAGCUGGAAGCAGGGAGGAGGACCAACAGAUGAACGGAUGACCUGCUUGUCGGGCUUCCCAUUUCUGAUUUUGAAAAAAUGGAGCCUGUUAUACAUGGAUGAGAGUGGAUGGAUGAAGAACCUUCUGGUUGAGGAUGAUCUUGCUAUUCCUGCCCCACUUCAGCUGGAACUAGGGAGCUGGAAGCAGGGAGGAGGACCAACAGAUGAGUGUUGACUCUGCUUAAUGAACUUGCCAUUUGAGAAUUUGUGAGGUGGAUUUACUAAAAAAUAAUGAUUUAACAAAUUGAUGUAAAAAGGAGGGCAAUGCCUGGAGCAAUGCCUUAACAGCUACAAUCCUGAAACAAAGUGCAAGAUUUUCAAAAGGACUGUUCUCAUGGAUAAGGAAACACAACUUACACAAGAAAAUAUCAAAAUAAAUGAAAGUCUGUUUUACUUUGUUGCCAGCCAAACAGGAAUUGUUACUAAUGUGACCUAGUUUGCCUAGGCCGAGAAGUUUUUUUUCCUCUAUUUUUCAGGAUGGAGAUUGUCACAGGGAACAUCUCAAGCCAUUACUUCAGGAGAAUGAAAGAUAUCUGGCAACCAGAAGCAGGGACCAACAGAUGACUGAUGAGCCUGCUUGCUGAUCAUGUCAUUGCUGAUACGUGAGAAGAUGAUGACCACCAAGCCUAGAUGAGACUGGCUAGAUGAGCAAGAGGAUGUUUCAUCCUGACGAGGAUAACACCACUCCAUCACUGAAACGGAAGAUCUGGAGGAGAUGAAGACCAUACAUGCAGUGGAUGAGGAAGAGGCUGUAGCUGGAUCAGGAUAAUCCUCAACGCCUGUCUCUGAUGAACCUGAGGAACUGGAGACAGGGAGAACACUGAUUUCUGAGAUUCGCCAAGAUGUAGCCACCAACGACAGCUGAUACAGGGAUGGAUUGCCAGCUGCCGCUUGUCUACCCCCUUCCCUUUAACCACAGAAUAAAAAAAUAAACUAAAUGUCCCCUCAAAAAAUGAAAGAAGAAUGUAAUCUGUGAAUUCGCUGAUAAACUUUUGAAUUGAGCUAUGAUGCUUUCAAAAAUAAUUGAAAUGCGCAAAAAGCAAUUUUUGGACCAAAAUCAUUGAUCUUUUAUGAAACCAGUAAAACCUGAAAACUCAUCUACAUAACAAUUAAAAAUAAAAAAUUAACAAUAGCAUAAGUAUUCUGUGGUUGAAAUAAGAUGUAGCACAAUUAUUUAAUUGUUAAAAUGAUUUGAAUUAUUCAUGAUAAAUACAACCCCCAUGAAAACUAUAGCAAUUUACUCUCAACCCAAUUUAAAAUACAGAUAUUAUAGUAUUUUGCACUUUUCCCUUAAAAAGUUAUUUUUGUGUCCAAUAGAGGAGGCAGUUUCAAAAUUCAUGGAAAUGUGGAAUUACUGAGCAAUGUUCAUAGAGCUAUACAAAUGGUUAGGGUUAGAGGACCACCCCCCCCCCCCCAAAUGAAACAGCCCAACUCAUGCACUUAGAAAAGGGUACUUUUUACAAAUAAAAAUAAUAUUGUAAACCAGCAUUCUUUUCAAUCAAAAGGCAUCUAGACAUUGAAAUUACACUGGGCUUAUCUUUUUGCAAUGUUUAUUUGCACGAAUUUGAGUUGUUUUUUAGUUUGAUUUUUUUUGGUGUUUUUUUUUCGUUUUUGUUCCUGCAUGUUUCAUCAAAUUGCAUGGUUUUACAAAGCAAAAGGAUAAGCACAUUGUUUGCUCAGUGUCAUAAUUACGACUUAUUUUUUUUUAAUAUUGAAUUUUCAUUGGGGGGGGGGGGGGCCUGAACCUUUGCCUCCCUUCCACACCCAACUCUUUUGAUUUUUACAAAAAAAUUGAUGUAAACAUAAAAGCGGAACCUUUUAGUUGUUAUCUUGAUAAAUAGGCUACAUUCUUCAUCCUUUAAGUAUUAAACUUUUUUCUUCAAAGAAGUUGCUUUUUGAGUU